rnacentral:rRNA from 1 species
AUUGAACGCUGGCGGCAGGCCUAACACAUGCAAGUCGAACGGUAACAGGAAGAAGCUUGCUUCUUUGCUGACGAGUGGCGGACGGGUGAGUAAUGUCUGGGAAACUGCCUGAUGGAGGGGGAUAACUACUGGAAACGGUAGCUAAUACCGCAUAACGUCGCAAGACCAAAGAGGGGGACCUUCGGGCCUCUUGCCAUCGGAUGUUCCCAGAUGGGAUUAGCUAGUAGGUGGGGUAACGGCUCACCUAGGCGACGAUCCCUAGCUGGUCUGAGAGGAUGACCAGCCACACUGGAACUGAGACACGGUCCAGACUCCUACGGGAGGCAGCAGUGGGGAAUAUUGCACAAUGGGCGCAAGCCUGAUGCAGCCAUGCCGCGUGUAUGAAGAAGGCCUUCGGGUUGUAAAGUACUUUCAGCGGGGAGGAAGGGAGUAAAGUUAAUACCUUUGCUCAUUGACGUUACCCGCAGAAGAAGCACCGGCUAACUCCAUG